CUCACCCGAUUUGAGGUCAAGGGUUCGUGGGGUCGAGGGAGCUUCCCGAGAAGGGAGACAUGCUCGAACAUUGUCUCGAUGCAAGGUCAAGACGGUUAGAAGCGGGUCCCAAAAGUGACAGAGCCAGAAACCAAGACAUGGAAACAUCUUAUCACACGUCGAGGAUCGGCAAAGAGGACCCUGCUAAUUCAUUUAAGAGGAGCUGGCCUUCAAAAGAGAGAGGUUCCAGCAAAGGCCUCCAAAGUCCAAGCCUGCCUUUGGUCUCCAGAAGAAACCAAGGAGGUUGAGGUUUUCACGACACUCAAACGGGUGUGCCCCUCGGAAUACCAAGGGGCGCAAGGUGCGUUCAAAGAUUCGAUGAUUCACUGAAUUCUGCAAUUCACAUUACGUAUCGCAUUUCGCUGCGUUCUUCAUCGAUGCGAGAGCCAAGAGAUCCGUUGUUGAAAGUUGUAUUGAUUGCGUGUUAGCGCAUAAAUGAGGUCAUUCUACACUUUUAAAAGGGGGGUUUGUGUGAAAACGCGAGCCCCCUCCGAGAUGAUCCCAAAGGGUGCCCACGCGGCGAUGCACAAAGGGUGAGAUGGAUUAUUAUGUGAGAGGACACACUCGGGCGUGCACGACUUUGAGUCAGCGACAGCCCUCACAUGCCCCUCACAUUUUGUACGAUAAUGAUCCUUCC
rnacentral:misc_RNA from 1 species